UACGUAGGUGGCAAGCGUUGUUCGGAAUUACUGGGCGUAAAGGGCUCGUAGGCGGCCAACUAAGUCAGACGUGAAAUCCCUCAGCUUAACUGGGGAACUGCGUCUGAUACUGGAUGGCUUGGAUCCGGAAGAGGGAUGCGGAAUUCCAGGUGUAGCGGUGAAAUGCGUAGAUAUCUGGAGGAACACCGGUGGCGAAGGCGGCAUCCUGGGCCGGUAUUGACGCUGAGGAGCGAAAGCCAGGGGAGCAAACGGG
rnacentral:rRNA from 1 species